GUUAAGAUUAUAUGUGAUUUGCUAAAAUUUUUAUGAAACAGUAAAUAAGUGAAAGGCGGUGAAUCAUAUAAUCUUAUUUGAUUAUUUGUAUAGAUAGAUUAUUAGGAUUUUCAGCCUGUUAAGAUUAUAUGAAAUUAUAUAGAUAAAUUAUUAGAAUUUAAAGAUUGUUAAGAUUAUAUGUGAUGGGAUGAAAAAAUAAUUUAUUUUUUAAAUAAAAUUUUGACAUGAUUAUUUUACCAAUUUUAAAUUUUUGCGGAAUUAUUUUAUAAAAGAAGUU
rnacentral:lncRNA from 1 species